rnacentral:rRNA from 1 species
AAUAGCCCAGCGCUGAAUCCCGCCGUUGUCACGGCGGCGGGAGAUGUGGUGUUCGGGAGGUUCCGCUUUCUCGUCGUUGUCAUCUCCUGUCCAAGUUCGUCUUGAACGGGGCCGUUUUCCCGUAGAGGGUGCCAGGCCCGUAGCGACGGAGGACGGCGGCGAGAGGGACUCUCCUCAGAGUCGGGUUGCUUGAGAGUGCAGCCCUAAGUGGGUGGUAAACUCCAUCUAAGGCUAAAUAUUACCGCGAGACCGAUAGCGAACA